AUUGAACGCUGGCGGCAGGCUUCACACAUGCAAGUCGAGCGAGUGGCGGACGGGUGAGUAAUGUCUGGGAAACUGCCUGAUGGAGGGGGAUCACUACUGGAAACGGUAGCUAAUACCGCAUACCAUCAGAUGUGCCCAGAUGGGAUUAGCUAGUAGGUGGGGUAAAGGCUCACCUAGGCGACGAUCCAUAGCUGGUCUGAGAGGAUGACCAGCCAAACUGGAACUGAGACACGGUCCAGACUCCUACGGGAGGCAGCAGUGGGGAAUAUUGCACAAUGGGCGCAAGCCUGAUGCAGCCAUGCCGCGUGUGUGAAGAAGGCCUUCGGGUUGUAAAGCACUUUCAGCGGGGAGGCGUUACUCGCAGAAGAAGCACCGGCUAACUCCGUGCCAGCAGCCGCGGUAAUUC
rnacentral:rRNA from 1 species